UUUAAUUGGAGAGAAGGUUUAAUUAUAUUUCCAUGUGUCUCUUUCCUCCUAGAAACCCUGUUGUAUAAGAACCCAAAGUGAACCGGAGGGCCUUGUUGUGGUCACAAUAACAACCCUUUAACGUCCCUGUGGUCCUUCACACAUUCCUGAGUCAGUACCUAGGGAUUAGUAGAGGUCAUCCAGACCGUUUUUACAUGUGUAAACAGCUGGAUCUCGUCUGAGCGGUUGGCUGGAUAUGCCGAGACCCGAUACGUGCUUAAUGCUGAUUGGUUUAGGUUCUGCCCACUAUAGUGCUGUCUGGUCAGAACAUGGUGUUGACGCCCGUCUCUCUACACUUGAUGGUCACCAGCACCACAUACAUGCAGACACAUCUGUUUCCAUUUGAAGAUGUUUUAUAUUAUUGUGUGGUUAUAUUCGCUGGUCUCACACUUCAUUAAGGAACUGCAUGUCAAAACUGUGUCAGCAACACAACACUUCUUCUCAAGACUGAUGAUGCCGUGCACUAACUGAAGGUGAGGGGAGGCGGUGUCCUGCAGCACAUCCAAGCACCCUGAUUGGUUGGAUGAACAGCGGUGCAAAGGGUGAUUGACAGGGCUGCAGGACAAUCAAGUUGAGAGGGCAUGUAAACACACACAGUCAUACCAUGCCCAUAGGGCUCUGGUCAAAGGUAGUGCACUAUAUAGUGAUUGUGGUGUCAUUUGGGACGCAAUCAGUGUAAAGAAAUGACAGUGGCAUAUUGUACUACUACAGACAUCAGUGUUUGGGUGCUUAAAUGUGACUUUGUCAAGUAGUCAGUGUUGUGUUUCACCAUUCUGUCUGAUGUAUUGUCAGUUUGGAAUGUUGUUAUUAGUCAACAUAAUGCUGAGGACAUUCAUAUCUGACUGCUGCAGUAAUGUUGAGAUGCCAGUAGGAGGAGCUCUAGUCUAGAACACUGGAACCUUCAGAAGCACGUUGAUGCAGCUGAUGAGGAGAGUAAAUUGAAUGUGUUUGUAGAAUAGAAUGAAUGACAUCAUGGAACUGACCAAAUGUAAAUUGAACUUUGACCUGUUCCAUGUAGAACUCAGAGGGACAAGACAACGCAUUCUAAUAUAUUAUAAACAUUCCAUAUAGAAUAGUAAAAAUAUUGUUAACAUGGUUCUGUAUUUAAAUAAAAGUGGAAAUGGGUGACAUUUUGUCCAUUAUAGAAAUGUAGGACCCAUUUUAAUACAGUAACCUCCCUUCUCUGACAUGCUGUUCUGGUCGUCAUGCAUGUUAAUGUCUUAAAAGAGGAAGGAAAGGACUGUUCUGCAUCAGCUACUUGUGUUCUGACUACUAUAAAUAUGUAUCAACCACAGAACACACAUUUACUAGCAGUUCCCACUCACUACCAGUCAGUUGACUCACUGUACAAGACCUCUCCCCUUCAGUCUGGUGGGAGAUGCAACAAUGUCCUUGAGAACAGCAGGAAGUGUGUUGGUGGUCUUUCUCUGGUCUGUAGCAGUGGUACUUGGUCAGUAUGUCUGGAGUGUGAAAUACACCACUCAGAGAAUCUGUGUCUUGAAGGGGUCAUCAGUGGAUCUGUUCUGCUCUUACACAUAUCCCAGUGGUCAUAAAGUCACAACAACCUUCUGGUUCACUGCAUGGGGGACUGGUGUAGAACCUAAAGAUCUAGGUCAGGACCCAGAGUAUGCAGGUCGUCUGGAGUAUCAUGGAGAUAAGAAGAAAGACUGUACCCUGAAAAUCACAGACCUGAGAGAGAGAGACUCAGCAACGUACAAGUUCAGAUUCAAAACAGAUCAGACCAGAGGGAAAUAUUAUGGAGAUCCUGGAGUCACUCUGUCUGUUACAGCUCUGCAGGUGAAGGUGAC